rnacentral:rRNA from 1 species
GAUGAACGCUGGCGGCGCGCUUAACACAUGCAAGUCGAACGAAGCACUUUAUUUGAUUUCCUUCGGGACUGAUUAUUUUGUGACUGAGUGGCGGACGGGUGAGUAACGCGUGGGUAACCUGCCUUGUACAGGGGGAUAACAGUUGGAAACGGCUGCUAAUACCGCAUAAGCGCACGGCAUCGCAUGAUGCAGUGUGAAAAACUCUGGUGGUAUAAGAUGGACCCGCGUUGGAUUAGCUAGUUGGUGGGGUAACGGCCCACCAAGGCGACGAUCCAUAGCCGACCUGAGAGGGUGACCGGCCACAUUGGGACUGAGACACGGCCCAAACUCCUACGGGAGGCAGCAGUGGGGAAUAUUGCACAAUGGGCGAAAGCCUGGUGCAGCGACGCCGCGUGAGCGAAGAAGUAUUUCGGUAUGUAAAGCUCUAUCAGCAGGGAAGAUAAUGACGGUACCUGACUAAGAAGCACCGGCUA